rnacentral:misc_RNA from 1 species
GCAAUGCAGCGAAUGGACUACGAUUGGCCGAGAUUCAAGACACGUCUCCUGCUUCACUUUCAGAGAGCUUGAAGGCUUUCUUUGGGCUUGUUUUGGGAAGUGAGGGUUCCCUUCCUGAGUUUGAGCUAUUGCAGGUUCCCAAAUUGCGAUCGGAAGCCUGUAUUCAAGUGGCUCGAUCUCUGGCUGAAGCUUAUGAGCUUAUAUACGAGGCAAUCAUGGAUCCCGACAACGGCUACCCAGACCCCAAGUCACUUGCAAGGCAUCCUCCAAACCAGAUAAGAACAAUUUU